UUCCGGUUGAUCCUGCCGGACCCCACUGCUAUCGAGAUGGGACUAAGGUAUGCUAGUCGAACGACCAGAACUAUGUCUGGGAGUGGCACACUGCUCAGUAACACGUAGCUAACCUACCCUUAGGACGUGGAUACCCCCGAGAAAUUGGGGUUAAUCCGCGAUAGAUGUAAUGUCCUGGAAUGGUAUUACGUCUAAAGGUAUUUCAUACAUGUUUGAAAUAUGCCUAAGGAUGGGGCUGCGGCCGAUCAGGCUGUUGGUGAGGUAAUGGCUCACCAAACCUUUGACCGGUACGGGCCAUGAGAGUGGUAGCCCGGAGAUGGACACUGAGACAAGGGUCCAGGCCCUAAGGGGCGCAGCAACCGCGAAACCUCCACAAUGCACUCACGUGCGAUGGGGCUAUCUCGAGUGCCACCUGAUGAAGGUGGCUUUUCCUAGGUCUUCAAAGCCUUGGGAAUAAGAGGGGGGCAAGACUGGUGUCAGCCGCCGCGGUAACACCAGCCCCUCGAGUGGUGGGGAUGAUUAUUUGGCCUAAAGCGUCCGUAGCCGGCCGAGCAAGUCUUCCGUUAAAUCCAGCGUCUCAAGCGUUGGACUGCGGGAGAUACUACACGGCUAGAGAGUGGGAGAGGUCAGCGGUAUUCUGGGGGUAGGGGCGAAAUCCUUUGAUCCCCGGAGGACCACCAGUGGCGAAGGCUGCUGACUAGAACACGUCUGACGGUCAGGGACGAAAGCUGGGGUAGCGAACCGGAUUAGAUACCCGGGUAGUCCCAGCCGUAAACGAUGCAUGCUAGGUGUUGG
rnacentral:rRNA from 1 species